GACGAACGCUGGCGGCGUGCCUAAUACAUGCAAGUAGAACGCUGAAGGAGGAGCUUGCUCUUCUGGAUGAGUUGCGAACGGGUGAGUAACGCGUAGGUAACCUGCCUGGUAGCGGGGGAUAACUAUUGGAAACGAUAGCUAAUACCGCAUAAGAGUAGAUGUUGCAUGACAUUUACUUAAAAGGUGCAAUUGCAUCACUACCAGAUGGACCUGCGUUGUAUUAGCUAGUUGGUGGGGUAACGGCUUACCAAGGCGACGAUACAUAGCCGACCUGAGAGGGUGAUCGGCCAAACUGGGACUGAGAAACGGCCCAGAAUCCUACGGGAGGCAGCAGUAGGGAAUCUUCGGAAAUGGACGGAAGUCUGACCGAGCAACGCCGCGUGAGUGAAGAAGGUUUUCGGAUCGUAAAGCUCUGUUGUAAGAGAAGAACGAGUGUGAGAGUGGAAAGUUCACACUGUGACGGUAGCUUACCAGAAAGGGACGGCUAACUACGUG
rnacentral:rRNA from 1 species